rnacentral:rRNA from 1 species
CGUGUAGGCGGCCUCCUAAGUCUGAUGUGAAAGCCCGGGGCUUACCCCCGGAAGGGCAUUGGAAACUGGGAGACUCGAGUACCGGAAAGGAAGGUGGAAUUCCUGGUGUAGCGGUGAAAUGCGUAGAUAUCAGGAGGAACACCGGUGGCGAAGGCGGCCUUCUGGACGGAUACUGACGCUGAGACGCGAAAGCGUGGGGAGCAAACAGGAUUAGAUACCCUGGUAGUCCACGCCGUAAACGAUGGGCACUAGGUGUUCGGGGUAUUGACCCCCUGAGUGCCGCAGCUAACGCAUUAAGUGCCCCGCCUGGGGACUACGGCCGCAAGGUUAAA